rnacentral:rRNA from 1 species
GUGGGGAAUCUUGCGCAAUGGGCGAAAGCCUGACGCAGCCAUGCCGCGUGAAUGAUGAAGGUCUUAGGAUUGUAAAAUUCUUUCACCGGGGACGAUAAUGACGGUACCCGGAGAAGAAGCUCCGGCUAACUUCGUGCCAGCAGCCGCGGUAAUACGAAGGGGGCUAGCGUUGCUCGGAAUUACUGGGCGUAAAGGGCGCGUAGGCGGACAGCUUAGUCAGAGGUGAAAGCCCAGGGCUCAACCUUGGAAUUGCCUUUGAUACUGGCUGUCUUGAGUUUGGGAGAGGUGAGUGGAACUCCGAGUGUAGAGGUGAAAUUCGUAGAUAUUCGGAAGAACACCAGUGGCGAAGGCGACUCACUGGCCCAAUACUGACGCUGAGGCGCGAAAGCGUGGGGAGCAAACAGGAUUAGAAACCCCAAGUCC